rnacentral:lncRNA from 1 species
UUUACUUGACACUACAAGAAAAACGUUUAGUUGAGUGAACACAUUUAGUGUCCAAAUAUUGGUGGUCACUGGAUGGUCACUAGAAGCUCGUCACAAAUUCUAUUUAGUGGCAAACCAUUAUAAUAAUGAAAUUCAACACAAUAUAACGGCCUCUGUUUAUUUAUCUUACUCUUAGACUUCCAAGUUAUCAAUAACUCAGAAAAUUGAAUAAGAAGACGCAAUUUUACAGAAAGAGAGAUGUCAAAAAUCAUCUUGUAACUACACAAACAAAACUGUUUCCUACUCAUAUUUCGAAUGCAAUGUUAGUUUUGAGUUUGUGAGGGGUUUGGGGCUGAGUAUAGGGUGAGGAUUGGAGUUUGGGUUGGAUUUGUGGUAUAACAAUUUUAGGGGAGAUUAUACCAAUUUUUUUUUUCUUUUUUGUUAUUUGACCAUAUUUGUUUUUUUGUAGGGAAUCGUCGAGACUUUGACGGCUAAAGUUGAGGAUUAGGAUGCUAUCGAAACAUAUCCUCCGCCACUACCAC